rnacentral:tRNA from 1 species
GCCUGGAUGGCUCAGUGGUCGAGCAUCUGCCUUUGGUGCAGGGUGUGAUCCUGGAUUCCUGGGAUCAAGUCCCACAUCAGGCU